ACUGUAGCCUUGAACUCCUGGGCUCCAGCAGUCCUCUUGCCUCAGCCUCCUAGGUACCUGAGACUACAGGGACUACAGGCACAAGCCAUCAUGGCUGGCUAAUUUUUUUUUUAAUUUUUAAUUUUGUAGAGACAGAGGUCUCACUUUGCUGCCCAGGCUGGUCUCGAACUUCUGGCUUCAAGCAGUCCUCCUGCCUUAGCCUCCCAAAGUGUUGGCAUUAUAAGCCUGAGCCACUGUGCCUGGCUUUUAUUGAGUAUUUUCUAUGUGCCAGGUCUCAUGCAAGAGAAAACAUGCCCUGAGCAAACAUUUUGAGCAAUCUGGUCUGUGUCAGUGAGGUGCC
rnacentral:lncRNA from 10 species